AUAAUGAGCCUAUAGCCUAGUGGUCAUGGCAUCUGCCCGGUAAGCGGAAGGUCGUGGGUUCGAUUCCCAUCCUUGUAUA